CAAUAUUACUGUGACAUGAAGAACAAUCAAAUGGAUGAUUCCAAAGGAAACUGGGAAGAUCUCUCUGAAAUAUGUAGAGAAAAGUGAAUAGAACUAGAACAAUUUCUAUGUGAUCACAGCAUCAUUGGAAAAACAACUUCUAAAGACUUUAGAACUCUGAGCAAUUCGAUGAUAGACCAAGAAUCCAAAAGAAUGGACAUGAAACAUAUCACUCACCUUCUGUCAGAAUGGUGGUGAAGUCAAAAUGCAGAACCCAGCACAAGUUGCCUCAUUCCUUUACUCACUCAAAAAACAUUCAUCCAUCCAUCCAUCCAUCCAUCCAUCCAUUCAUUCAUUUAUCUGUUUGCUUAAAACCCUCAAUUUCCAUCUUAGAAUCAAUACUGAGAAUUGGUUCCAAGGCAGAAGGGCAGGAAGAGCUAGGCAAAUUGGGUUAAGUGACUUGUACAGGAUCACACAGCAAGGAAGUGUCUGAGGUCAGAUUUGAACCCAAGUCUUUUCAAUUCUAGGCUUGGCUUUCUAUCCCCUGAGUCACCUAGCUGCCCCUUAACAAAUAUUUAUUAAAUACCAGCUAGAUAGAGGGUGGUGAAACUAAGUGGUGUAGAGUGCCAGAACUGGGGGACAGAAAGCCUUUUCUACAUUCAAAUCUGGCCUCAGACUCUCUGUAAUCCUGGGGUAAUCACUUAACCCUGGUUGCUUCCAUUUCCUCACCUGGAAAAUGAGCUAAAGAAGGAAAUGGCAAACCCCUCCAAUACCUUUUACUAAGAAAAGCCCAAAUGGGGUCACCAAGUCAGACACAUUGGAAGACAAAACCAAACCCCAAGACUACCUGUAUAGGAUUCACUGGGGAAGAUACAAGGUUCACAGUGCCCCUGUUCCUAGCAAUCAUGGAGCCCUCAGUCUAGCAGGGAAAAAAAAAACAACCUGACUGCUCACACUUGAUUUUUAGUGAGUGUGGCAGCUGUUUAGACCUGGGAUUUCAUCAGUGUGGGGCACUGCCUAGGUAGAAACGUCCUCUGGGAAGGCAGGCAGUUAAAUCCUCCUUAAUUUACAGUCUUAGAGAGUUGUCUGGGGAUGCUGUGAGGUUGUGGAUUGUGUGUGUCCAGAGAGAAUGUGUGUGAGAGGUGGAACCUGAAAGCUGGGACUUCCUGACUUCAAAGCUGGAACUCUGUCCAUUGCUUCAAGCAGUCUUUAGGAGAGACAUGGCUUCAUUAUUCCUGGCUAUUGAAAACAUGGGUCUCCAGCUACAGUCUUCUACACACGGGAGUGGGUUUUGUCUUAGAAUAAUGGACUCCAACAACCAAUAGGGACCUCAGUGGGCAUCCAUUCAAACUUUUACCUCAGUAGGAAUUCCCUCUGUUUUUUAAGCCCUUAUUUUUCAUCU
rnacentral:lncRNA from 1 species